rnacentral:siRNA from 1 species
UCCGGAUUUUCAAGGGCCGCCG